AUUGAACGCUGGCGGCAUGCCUUACACAUGCAAGUCGAACGGCAGCACGGGGGCAACCCUGGUGGCAAGUGGCGAACGGGUGAGUAAUGCAUCGGAACGUACCCGGAAGUGGGGGAUAACGUAGCGAAAGUUACGCUAAUACCGCAUAUUCUGUGAGCAGGAAAGCAGGGGAUCGCAAGACCUUGCGCUUUCGGAGCGGCCGAUGUCGGAUUAGCUAGUUGGUGAGGUAAAGGCUUACCAAGGCGACGAUCCGUAGCUGGUCUUAGAGGAUGAUCAGCCACACUGGGACUGAGACACGGCCCAGACUCCUACGGGAGGCAGCAGUGGGGAAUUUUGGACAAUGGGGGAAACCCUGAUCCAGCCAUGCCGCGUGAGUGAAGAAGGCCUUCGGGUUGUAAAGCUCUUUCGGACAGAAAGAAAUCGCCAUCUCUAAGACAGGUGGUGGAUGACGGUACUGUAAGAAGAAGCACCGGCUAACUACGUGCCAGCCGCCGCCGUAA
rnacentral:rRNA from 1 species